rnacentral:rRNA from 1 species
GAUGAACGCUGGCGGCAUGCCUAAUACAUGCAAGUCGAGCGAAGCGGGGACGGGUGAGUAACACGUGGACAACCUCCUAUAAGACUGGGAUAACUUCGGGAAACCGGUGCCAAACCGGAUAAUUAUCGAUGGAUCCGUGCUGCAUUAGCUAGUUGGUAAGGUAACGGUUUACCAAGGCAACGAUGCAUAGCCGACCUGAGAGGGUGAUCAGCCACACUGGAACUGAGACACGGUCCAUACACCUACGGGAGGCAGCAGUAGGGAAUCUUCCGCAAUGGGCGAAAGCCUGACGGAGCGACGCCGCGUGAGUGAUGAAGGUCUUCGGAUCGUAAAACUCUGUUAUUGGAGAAGCGGUAUCUGACCAGAAAGCCACGGCUAACUACGUGCCAGCAGCCGCGGUAAUAC